AGUGGGAAACGAUGUGGGAAGGCCCAGACAGCCAGGAUGUUGGCUUAGAAGCAGCCAUCAUUUAAAGAAAGCGUAAUAGCUCACUGGUCGAGUCGGCCUGCGCGGAAGAUGUAACGGGGCUAAACCAUGCACCGAAGCUGCGGCAGCGAACGUAUCACUUAAAGCGAUUCAGCGGGUUACGAUUGACGGAGCGAAGCGACGUCAAAGCGUAUACAAAGUCGAGUCGGUUUAAGGAUACGUUCGUUGGGUAGGGGAGCGUUCUGUAAGCCUGYGAAGGUGGCCUGUGAGGGUUGCUGGAGGUAUCAGAAGUGCGAAUGCUGACAUAAGUAACGAUAAAGCGGGUGAAAAGCCCGCUCGCCGGAAGACCAAGGGUUCCUGUCCAACGUUAAUCGGGGCAGGGUGAGUCGACCCCUAAGGCGAGGCCGAAAGGCGUAGUCGAU
rnacentral:rRNA from 1 species